ACCGUUUUACUAGGAAUCUCACCACAUUAUGGAUUGAUGCAAAUUUGCACAGGCACAUUUCAUGAAACAAGCAAAGAAUAUUACCUACCCUUCUCUGAUUUGUUGUAAAAGAACUCUGAAUUAUAGGAGGGGGCUAAUAGCUGGCCACAACAGACUAAAGCAAAGAACCUAAAGGAGGGGGCUAAUAGCGGCACACAAGCAGACACACACAUGCAUGUGUUCAAUUACAACAACCGGAGAAAUGACUACAUACUCAUGAAAGCCAAGAACUCAUUGAACAUCAUCUUCAACCUCCCACAUACUCAUUAAAUCUAUGAUGUUUUUUGUACAGACAAGCACACCCUGCCUACCAUCAGUCUUCUCUGCCUUGGCUGAGAAUCUAGAACCACGGACUUUUUUCUCUGCCUGCUUGAUCUUCUUAGCGCGUUUGAUCUUCUCAGCAGACCAACAUGUAGCUGCCUGCCACUCCGGGUCACCUGAAGAAUAUGAAGAAAUAUUUACAAAAGUUUAAGAAAUUGCACAGCGUCGGCAGAAAGUGUGAUGUCGCAGUUAUAACCCCGGAUCUCAACUACAUAUGGGAAUCUAUGUUCUGUUCUCUUGUUCUAAAGAUAAAAACUUAUACUAAGUGAUGCUCUUGGUGCUUAAAUAUAAUGGAUAUUGCAACAACGAAGUUCAAUUCAAUGUUGUUGCUACUGCACUGCUUUUACAAGAUUCAGAUUUAUGCUAGCUACAAAUUGUACAUACCGUGCCAUCCAAUGGACAAUUCUAUGCACCGUUUAUACAGUACUAGAUGAGUGGUAUUUAAAUCUGUGCAUUGCUUUUCAUGGCAACCAAUCAUAACACAGCAGUUGACAUGAUAUAAAAACUCAUAAUUGUCGAUGGUUGGUCAUGUUCUGACAGAACUAUUUGGCUGCAGCAUAUCUUCAGAAGUGAAUUAUAAUAUGGUGUAUAAUGAAGCUAAUUAUUCUUGCAAGUGGUCACAUAGUCUUUUUACAAUCAGAAUCACUGAUAAGACACAUUCAGUGGGGUUGGAACAUGUUUACGAUAAAUUACCUUUAAAACAAGCUCAAAGUAUCCAAUAUCAGAAUCCAGUGAGUCGGAGUAUAAGGCUUGACUAAUUCCUCACCAGUAACAUCCUUCCCUCUGAAGUCGGUUAACAAAAUACAGAAAGCGGAAUCAGAAUAUUCGAGUCACUCCAUGUACCAAAAAAAGGGGUAAGUAUAUUUUUCAUCCGUCAACUCUAGAGAAAAUUCAGAAAUCGUCCCUCAACUCCAAAACCACCAAAACUCAGUCUCUCAACUAAUUAAACCGGAUACUUUUCAACCCUGGUAACGCUUAAGGUGGUUUUAGUAUGACGUGGACCCUGGUUUUGACUAAAAUGGGCCAUGUAGCCUGGUUUUGACUAUUAGCGGGCACCCUGCCGGCUCUCUCUCUCUCUCUCUCAUUUUCUCAAUCCCCUUUCUCACUCACAAAACAGAGCAGGCGGUGGCGGCGAUUUAGGCAGCGGCGGUCUGGCCCGGUGGCGACCCAGGCGGGGCGGUGGCUGUCUGCUGAUUACUGCAUUCCUGGGCACGAUAGGCUGCGCUCUUGACCCAUGAG
rnacentral:lncRNA from 1 species